rnacentral:misc_RNA from 1 species
CUGUGUUGUUUUCAACGCAGAGAUUGUCCAGGCGCCGGAUCUGAGACAGUACUUAUCACAUCGGUACGACUGGGUCUCAGCCGGUCAGCUCAUGGGUGGAACAUUGACAUUGGUGCGGAGCCGAACGGCUCGAACUUAGUACGCCUGCUUGCAGGAAGGAACAGUUCGGACCGGGGAGCCUCGCACAUGCACGCUGUUGGGUCCUGAGGGACCGGACCUCAUCGCUGUGUCUUCAAGACGCUGAGAUGAGAACCGAAUCCUCUGGACCUUUUUUGGUCGGCCAUAACUGGGCCGGCGGAAAAGGUACCGCCCGUACUUUGAGAACUACACAGUGGACGCGAGCAUCUUAGAUUCGGACCUUCGGGUUCGGAUCACAAAAGAUGAUCAUAGUACUUUCGAGUACUGAUUAGAUCAUUGGUCAAUCUGCUCACUUCGGUGAGCCGAUCGAUUCAAACUCAUGUGAUUUCAAGUUUCUAAGAGCAAACGGUGGAUGCCUUGGC